rnacentral:tRNA from 1 species
GGGCCCUUAGCUCACUUGGUAGAGCGCUUCCAUGGCAUGGAAGAGGUAACCGGUUCGAUCCCGGUAGGGUCCA